rnacentral:rRNA from 1 species
GGUUCAGGAUAAACGCUGGCGGCGCACAUAAGACAUGCAAGUCGAACGGACGGAAGCUAUUCUUAACGAUUAGUGGAAGUUAGUGGCGGACUGGUGAGUAAUGUAUAAGUAACCUGCCUAUUAGAGGGGAACAACAGUUGGAAACAGCUGCUAAUACCGCAUAUGCCAUAGAAACCGCAUGAUUUCAGUGGGAAAGGAGUAAUCCGCUAAUAGAUGGACUUAUAUCUGAUUAGUUAGUUGGUGGGGUAACGGCCCACCAAGACUACGAUCAGUAGCCGAACUGAGAGGUUAAACGGCCACAUUGGGACUGAGAUACGGCCCAGACUCCUACGGGAGGCAGCAGUCGGGAAUAUUGCGCAAUGGAGGAAACUCUGACGCCAGUGACGCCGCGUGCAGGAAGAAGGUUUUCGGAUUGUAAACUGCUUUAGACAGGGAAGAAAAAGGACAGUACCUGUAGAAUAAGCUCCGGCUAACUACGUGCCAGCAGCUGC